GACGAACGCUGGUUGGCGUGCUUAACACAUGCAAGUCGAACGGAAAGGCCCUGCUUUUGUGGGGUGCUCGAGUGGCGAACGGGUGAGUAACACGUGAGUAACCUGCCCUUGACUUUGGGAUAACUUCAGGAAACUGGGGCUAAUACCGGAUAGGAGCUCCUGCUGCAUGGUGGGGGUUGGAAAGUUUCGGCGGUUGGGGAUGGACUCGCGGCUUAUCAGCUUGUUGGUGGGGUAGUGGCUUACCAAGGCUUUGACGGGUAGCCGGCCUGAGAGGGUGACCGGCCACAUUGGGACUGAGAUACGGCCCAGACUCCUACGGGAGGCAGCAGUGGGGAAUAUUGCACAAUGGGCGGAAGCCUGAUGCAGCAACGCCGCGUGCGGGAUGACGGCCUUCGGGUUGUAAACCGCUUUCGCCUGUGACGAAGCGUGAGUGACGGUAAUGGGUAAAGAAGCACCGGCUAACUACGUGCCAGCAGCCGCGGUGAUACGUAUGGUGCGAGCGUUGUCCGGAUUUAUUGCGCGUAAAGGGCUCGUAGGUGGUUGAUCGCGUCGGAAGUGUAAUCUUGGGGCUUAACCCUGAGCGUGCUUUCGAUACGGGUUGACUUGAGGAAGGUAGGGGAGAAUGGAAUUCCUGGUGGAGCGGUGGAAUGCGCAGAUAUCAGGAGGAACACCAGUGGCGAAGGCGGUUCUCUGGGCCUUUCCUGACGCUGAGGAGCGAAAGCGUGGGGAGCGAACAGGCUUAGAUACCCUGGUAGUCCACGCUGUAAACGGUGGGUACUAGGUGUGGGGUCCAUUCCACGGGUUCCGUGCCGUAGCUAACGCUUUAAGUACCCCGCCUGGGGAGUACGGCCGCAAGGCUAAAACUCAAAGGAAUUGACGGGGCCCCGCACAAGCGGCGGAGCAUGCGGAUUAAUUCGAUGCAACGCGUAGAACCUUACCUGGGUUUGACAUGGAUCGGGAGUGCUCAGAGAUGGGUGUGCCUCUUUUGGGGUCGGUUCACAGGUGGUGCAUGCCUGUCGUCAGCUCGUGUCGUGAGAUGUUGGGUUAAGUCCCGCAACGAGCGCAACCCUUGUUCACUGUUGCCAGCACGUUAUGGUGGGGACUCAGUGGAGACCGCCGGGGUCAACUCGGAGGAAGGUGGGGAUGACGUCAAGUCAUCAUGCCCCUUAUGUCCAGGGCUUCACGCAUGCUACAAUGGCUGGUACAGAGAGUGGCGAGCCUGUGAGGGUGAGCGAAUCUCGGAAAGCCGGUCUCAGUUCGGAUUGGGGUCUGCAACUCGACCUCAUGAAGUCGGAGUCGCUAGUAAUCGCAGAUCAGCAACGCUGCGGUGAAUACGUUCCCGGGGCU
rnacentral:rRNA from 1 species